rnacentral:lncRNA from 1 species
GUUUCCAUGUGUGUGUGUUUCCAGGUGUGUGUGUUUCCAUGUGGGUAUGUUGGCACCCUUGGGAGGCAUACGGGCAAAGCUCAGUCACCUGGCAUCCAGACUACAUUGGUAGACACCACGGUGCGAAGCCCCAACUGGUCCGAUUGCCAAAGUUGACAAGACUUCCUAUCAUCAGGUGCUGCUUUCCUCUACUAACAUGACACCUCACCCUAUUCGCUGCAUUACCCAUGAGGCCCUGUUAUCCUCUAUCCCGCCCCUCCUAGCCUACCCAGCCCGACCUGCCAUCCCAUCAUGUUAUGCCAUCGCGGUCACCACCGGCGAUGAUUCGCACCCCAGUCGGUGGGGGCUCUCGGUGUUUCAGAGGUGUUGGCACCACACUGCUACCAGACAAGGUGUUGUAACCACACUGCUACCAGACAAGGUGUUGUCACCCCACUGCUACCAGACAAGGUGUUGUCACCACACUGCUACCAGACAAGGUGUUAUCACCACACUGCUACCAGACAAGGUGUUGUCACCAC